GUGCUCACUUCGGCAGCACAUAUACUGAAAUUGGAACCAUACAGAGCUGAUUAGCAUGGCCCCUGAAAUUAAAAAAUAUAUAUAUUAUGUUGUA
rnacentral:snRNA from 1 species